UGGUGGAGUGAUUUGUCCGGUUAAUUCCGAUAACGAACGAGACUCAAGCCUGCUAAAUAGUACACUCACAUGAGGUGCAAGCCUAACAUGAUGAGUGCUUUACUUCUUAGAGGGAUUGAUGGCAAUUUGUCAUAUGAAAAAGAGCAAUAACA
rnacentral:rRNA from 1 species